rnacentral:rRNA from 1 species
GGGCAUCCCCUGAAUACCAAAGCUUUAUGUGCUGAAAGAUGGCCUCGCGUCUGAUUAGAUAGUUGGUGGGGUAACGGCCUACCAAGUCAACGAUCAGUAGCCGGUCUGAGAGGAUGAACGGCCACAUUGGGACUGAGAUACGGCCCAGACUCCUACGGGAGGCAGCAGUGGGGAAUAUUGGGCAAUGGGGGAAACCCUGACCCAGCAACGCCGCGUGAAGGAAGAAGGCCUUCGGGUUGUAAACUUCUUUUACCAGGGACGAAGAACGUGACGGUACCUGGAGAAAAAGCAACGGCUAACUACGUGCCAGCAGCCGCGGUAAUACGUAGGUUGCAAGCGUUGUCCGGAUCUACUGGGUGUAAAGGGCGUGUAGGCGGAGCUGCAAGUCAGAUGUGAAAUCCCGGGGCUCAACCCCGGAACUGCAUUUGAAACUGUAGCCCUUGAGUAUCGGAGAGGCAAGCGGAAUUCCUAGUGUAGCGGUGAAAUGCGUAGAUAUUAGGAGGAACACCAGUGGCGAAGGCGGCUUGCUGGACGACAACUGACGCUGAGGCGCGAAAGCGUGGGGAGCAAACAGGAUUAGAUACCCUGGUAGUCCACGCUGUAAACGAUGAAUACUAGGUGUGGGAGGACUGACCCCUUCCGUGCCGCAGUUAACACAAUAAGUAUUCCACCUGGGGAGUACGACCGCAAGGUUGAAACUCAAAGGAAUUGACGGGGGCCCGCACAAGCAGUGGAUUAUGCGGUUUAAUUCGACGCAACGCGAAGAACCUUACCAGGACUUGACAUCCAACUAACGAAGUAGAGAUACAUUAGGUGCCCUUCGGGGAAAGUUGAGACAGGUGGUGCAUGGUUGUCGUCAGCUCGUGUCGUGAGAUGUUGGGUUAAGUCCCGCAACGAGCGCAACCCCUAUUGUUAGUUGCUACGCAAGAGCACUCUAGCGAGACUGCCGUUGACAAAACGGAGGAAGGCGGGGACGACGUCAAAUCAUCAUGCCCCUUAUGUCCUGGGCUACACACGUAAUACAAUGGCCGUCAACAAAGGGAAGCAAUACUGCGAAGUGGAGCAAAUCCCCAA